rnacentral:rRNA from 1 species
GACGAACGCUGGCUGCGUGCUUAACACAUGCAAGUCGAACGGAAAGGCCCUGCUUUUGUGGGGUGCUCGAUUGCCGAACGGGUGAGUAACACGUCAGUAACCUGCCCUUGACUUUGGGAUAACUUCAGGUAACUGGGGCUAAUACCGGAUAGGAGCUCCUGCUGCAUGGUGGGGGUUGGAAAGUUUCGGCGGUUGGGGCUGGACUCGCGGCUUAUCAGCUUGUUGGUGGGGUAGUGGCUUACCAAGGCUUUGACGGGUAGCCGGCCUGAGAGGGUGACCGGCCACAUUGGGACUGAGAUACGGCCCAGGCUCCUACGGUAGGCAGCAGUGGGGAAUAUUGCACAAUGGGCGGAAGCCUGAUGCAGCAACGCCGCGUGCGGGAUGACGGCCUUCGGGUUGUAAACCGCUUUCGCCUGUGACGAAGCGUGAGUGACGGUAAUGGGUAAAGAAGCACCGGCUAACUACGUG